GUGGAAAGGGUGUAUCGUCGCGGUCCCGGUUGUUGUGAAUCUAAGCAAAGGCUGAGUGAGCACCAGAAAGCUUCACGCCUUGCGGUGUCGAGGUCCAAGUUCAUGGCAGGACACACGCAUUGCACUGACAUGUUUAGUUAGACGAUCUUGCCUGCAUCAGACAUGUUUAGAUCCUUCCUGCUCGUCUUCGCCGUGGGCUACUCGCUCGGCCUCCUGUCGUCGUCCACCCGGCCGUCACCGAGACCGUCCCAGACGCAGUGGCGGAGACAGACGACGAUCGUACGACCGCGCACCUCACCGACACCGCCUACGCGGCGAGGAACGAGAACGACGCGGCUGCGUCAAGGUCGACCUACCCACGUCCGCCUCCGCACGACCUGUUCCAGUUCAAGGAGGAGUGCGGGGAGCCGGUGCCCGACGACACCGUCGUGCAGACUCUGCUCGACAAGCUCUUCGGCGGCGAGAGCCCCCUACGCGGGCGGCGAGUCUUCUGUUAUUCGUGAUCUUCACGUUCGCCUUAGUUCUAUCUAUGUCUUGAACUCUUACAUAUUGUUGUAGAUUUUCAAUGAGUCUUUUAAUGUUUUCUUGAGAUGUUCAUCAAUUUGAUCACCACCA